rnacentral:ncRNA from 1 species
UGAGGGCCCCCUCGGAAGCACCCCGACGAGACGCGCCGUACCGGGUCACGAAAGACGACGCACC